rnacentral:lncRNA from 1 species
AGCCUCCCUGGACCAUUUGGAGCGAUGCUGGCCGGCUGGCAUUGACACUCGUCUCCUCUAGGAAGACCAUCUUGGGCUGUUCUUCUGCUCUUCGCUCUGCAUUUAAAAAAUGAGGCUCUCACGAUCGGAGCUUGUUUUCACAUCUUGUUAGCUCUGUGCUGGUAACAUUCCAGACAUGACUUCCAUCCUGUUAGCAAACGGGUCCUCAGAUUUCUUUUUCUGAAACACGCUUCUGGAAGUCUCCCUUGGAGAAGGCGAACCCCAGACAUUGUCUAUGAAUUCCUGAGAUCUCAAUCAAGUGAAUGAUUUCCCCCGAUGUCUUCAUUACUCUACACAUGUGCGUGUGGACACAUGCAUGUCCACACACGUGCACACACAUGCACACAUGACAGGAGCCCCAACAGGCUGCAUUGCAGGGACUCCCGGCUUCUAGGAGGCAGGGAUGUGGGAGCGCUCAGCGUGUGUUGAUUCAGCGGACGCGAGGCCCCCCGGCCACGGAGCAGCCUGUUUUCUGGGACCAGGAAACAUUUCAAGGACUCGGCAUCAGGCCUCCCACCCUGCACCCAGGCCUCGGCUUCCUCGUCUCAUAUUCACCAGCUGUCUCCAUGAUUUACUGUCUUUUUCCUGGUGGCCGCCAGGCCAGCAUGAGUCUGCAGCAGUCUACAUGUCCCUUGGCUCUGAGAGGAUGACCACGACAUGUGGGAGGAUGUUCAGGGGUCAAAUGAGUCUCUAGGGGCUUAAAACUAGCUCCCGAAAUGGUGACGUGACCUGUGACCAGAGGGACAGAUAUGGGCUGGGAACGUCAUGGCCUGAGGCUUCCAGAAAGAGGAUAUGUGUGGAGAGAGAGCAAGUGAAAGAGAACAGAAAGUCUCCAAGUGCAUCUCGCUCGGGCAGAGUCACGGCUGCCCUGUGAAACGUUCCAGCGGCGUGGAGCUCAGUCAGGUUUCUCUGCGGGACUCAUGGUUUUUGAAAAACAGUUUGAGUGAAUUAUAUUUUAAUAAAGAUGUUAAAAAAUCCUUUGAAAGUCCUGCACUGAUUUGGGAAAGGGCACCUUUGUUCUCUUUCUCUCUCUCCCUCCCUCCUUUCUUUUCCUGCUGGACACAUUGCUACUUCUUGAAGGCUAGGACCCACCAGCCCCAAAGACACCACUGUGUGGGAAAAAGAGUGGAUUGUGGACAACAUGGCACGGUGUUCCAGGGGAAAGUGCCAAUUUCUCCACGAGGCAUGCGUUUCAAAUGGGCUUUCCCUGCCAUGGUGACAGGCAGUGCGAGGCCGAAAGCUGGAAUUCUUUGCACAGCAUCCAACGUGCUCUUCAACACGCAUCAUCCUUCGGAAAAGUUAACUGAGCUGGGUGUGCAUUUCCACUUUUAUUAUGUGGGAAAAAUGAGAAGCUGGACACUUUGUGCUCACUCUGUUCUCUAGCCAGCCAAGGUUGGAAUUUAGAAAAUAUAUACAAAUCUGAAACAUAGUUUCAAAUUAAUAGGUCAUAUAUUAGUGUUGCCAUGACUGGAAUAUUCAGAAAGCAAAAUCUGACCAAGCCCACUUGGGGUUUCAUUAAUUUCUGGGGCGCUGGCCAGCUUCUGUCUCUGGCCCAGCUGGUUGUAUCCAGGGACUAAGUCUCUACUCUUAGCACGGGAGGAUGCCUCAAGCUGAACAAAGCCAGUGUUUCAUUGCAAUCAGAAAAAAUCCUGGGGGGGGGGGUGUGUGUGUGAUAUAAUGUAACAUUAGAUUAUUCUUUUGAUUUACCCAAAGAUACUAAAAACAGUCCUUUGGAAUUUGUUUCCAUCCCUCUUCACUGCCUCUGAGCCCUGGAACUCAGAGCGUGGUCUGGGCCCCAUGGAGUGGACCGCCCUGCAGGGCGUGUUAGGGAAGCUGAAUCUAAGCCUUCAUUUAAACGCAAUUCUCGGGGUGGCGGGGCGGGGGGGGAGGUUAUGCAUAUUAAAAUGAGAAACGCUCAAAUCACUGUGUAUUAUUGACUAAGAAGUGACGAAGCUUUAAGGAGACCCCUAAUUUUUGGAUGACUGUGACCACAGCCAGCCCUUUCUAUCAUUCUCCUGUUUUCCUCUGCAGGUGAGCUCUCCUUCCGCCCCACACGAUGGCCCCAGAGCCUGGCUCCUCAGGUCCUGGAAGGGAGGGCAGUGCAGCCCUCGCAAACAGGUGUGUGAUUCCCUGAUUACAAAUUAGGACAACACCUGAUGUCUACCCUCAGUAACUGUCAAGGGCACGACGCAGAAUCGUCAACCACAGUCACCAGGCUAUGCUUCGGACCCCCAGAACUUACUCGUCUUCUAACUGAAGGUGUGGGCGCUGUGGUCAACGUCUCCGUCAGUUACACUGCAGUAAAAAAUUUAGAAGAGAAAGAAUCCUUUCCGUAAAGAAUGGAUCUGGGUAUCUUCCCGGGCAGUUUCUUUUCUACACCUCCAGGGGUUUACAGGGCGCUAUUAGGGCCCCAUUAGAGGCUUCUCUUCCUUUCAGUACAAUGUGCCUUCUCAUGGGUAUGGAUUUAAUAUAAAUACUAACAAACUCUGAGAGUUUAUUCUUUUUUUAGGGCACCGAGAUGACACAAUCACCCCUGAACUCUGUAUUUUCUAAUGAAUCAGUCCAUCUUCAAAUCCGAAAAUAAAGCCUCAUCAUAUAUUUAAAGGCCUAAAGAG